rnacentral:rRNA from 1 species
UACGUAGGGUGCAAGCGUUGUCCGGAAUUAUUGGGCGUAAAGAGCUCGUAGGCGGUCUGUCGCGUCGGAUGUGAAAAUCCAGGGCUCAACCCUGGACCUGCAUUCGAUACGGGCAGGCUAGAGUUCGGUAGGGGAGACUGGAAUUCCUGGUGUAGCGGUGAAAUGCGCAGAUAUCAGGAGGAAUACCGGUGGCGAAAGCGACUCUCUGGACGGCAACUGACGCUGAGGCACGAAAGCGUGGGGAGCAAACAGG